rnacentral:lncRNA from 1 species
ACCCCAACCACUUCAUCAUAUCCUUAAAGAUCUUAUCUCUUUUGAUCUUCACCAUUCAAACAAAAAUCAAAGAUAAGAUGGGCAUUGAGAUAUAAUUGUGCGGCAAGAAAGAAACCUCCUUUCCCCUUAGUGCAUGUCCAAACUUUUCCAAAGUUUUUGUCUCACAAGAAAUUAUUCCAUGCCCCAACAAAUCAGAUUAGGAUGUUCUCUG